CAAAAAUAAACGUUAGGCACCAACUUAGGGACAACAGCAUCAUACAAGAGGUUCCGAGAGAGAAUCAGGAAAAGAUGAAAGUAAAAACGGUGGUAAAUCUAUGUAGGACCUGACAGCACUAGGCUCAGAUUCCAUUACUGCCAGAGUAAUGCCGUCUACCCUCGUUUGAAAACUCUCUGAUGGCAAAUGGCUUACAUGUUAUAAAUAGCGGCCCCCAAGGCCUAAUUAGAACAGAUAUUUUUAUGCAGAACUAUUUUGCACCCUUUGCUCUGCCAGCAUGACAUUAUGUUUCCUUUCCAAUGUUAUCUUCCCCCACACAUUACUGAAGGAGACUUUUGUACCCAAGUAGAUUACACCUGACAGAUGGGCAACUGGAGAAAGAAAAAGUGGCCUUUUGCAAAAGGUGUUGUUGCAGGAAGUUCGAUCACACUCAGGACAGAGAUACCUCACAAUGUUGGGAACAUUUUUUCCUUUAUGGGAUUAUAGAAGAAAGAAAUCCUGAAUAUGAAUUAUUUUAAGUAUCCAAGAAAAAUGAUUUUUGGAUAUAUAAAUGGCGAAAUAUGCAUGGAAUUACAAGUUUUAUAUCCAUUUGUGAAACUAUUAUGUUUUUAAAGUGAACUGUUAAUGUUUAUGGCAUUUUAUUUGUGUGUCUAUGAAUUAUUCAUAAGUUUUCUCUGUAUUGAAGUUGUAUAUUACAGAACUACAAAGAUGGCCGAUAAGUAACUUCCGGUUAGAUCACAUGAUCGGGCGAAAUUCACUUAAAUAAAUCAGAUAUUCAUUUCGUAUCAAAUGGCAGCAUCUUGAUUGUGAGGAGAUGCAGUUUAGCGUUUUAAUACAGGAUUUAUGAAUUAAGAAAACGGAGGUAUGAGAGUUGUAGCCAGCUCCGCUCUUUCGGACUUUUAAAGAUGGCGGAAUGAGUGUUUCCGGCCGCGUCACGUGACCGGACUCAUUCUACUAGUAGGAACGAGGAUUUUAAAUAGUUUUCUCUAUAUAGAAUGGCAGCCCUUUAUUGGGAGGAAAUGCCAGCAGUACCUAUAUACAGGAUUUAUCACUUAGGAUAGCGGAGGUAAUUGGGGAUCGAUUUAGCUCCAUUUUUUAGACUUUCAAAGAUGGCGGAAAUGGUACUUCCGGUCGCGUCAUGUGAUCGGACUUAUCUCACCGGCGGGAACCAGUGUUUUAAACGGUCAGGUGACCGGAAGUAAUACUAGGACACUUUUUACAUCAAACCAUGAGGAGGAACCUUUCUCUAGGAAAUGUAGGAAUAAUAAUGAAGAUGCACAUGGCACUUCCAUGUAUGAGAUUUUGCUGUUUUAUGUCUUUUUCAUCAAAAAUAAGCCUUUUUAAAUGGCGGUUUUUGUUAGAAUAGGUAUAUGAGGUAAAGUAGAAUAGAUUAUCUAUGUUAGAUUAGGAAUUAGUGUGACCCUAAUAUGUAUAUGCAUGCAUUGCAUUGUAAAUGAGAGUGGCUCCUCCCAGUAUUUGGGAGUAUCAAUUCAUUAGGGUAUAAAUAGCUGGGGAGAGGACAUGGAAGGAUAAGCCUUGAAAAAGAUCCACGGAUCGAAACGCGUUGGCUGAAUUGUGACAUCUGGUGGCUGAUUACCUGGACGAGGAGAGGACGAGGUGCCCAUUGCUUGGAGCUGACCGUUCCCGGGGACGUUGGAAACAUCAAUACAGCGACAAAUUUUUGGUGCACUUUAAAACCCCAAAUCUGGUAGGAAGCCACCCUCAUAUCUUGCUUGAAUGUGAAAAUCUUGUUCUAUGAAGACUGUAUA